rnacentral:misc_RNA from 1 species
GCCCUUUAAUUUUCUUAUACACUACCUAUAUGGGACUUAUUCCCAAAAAUGAUAUUCCAAUACUGCCCCUCAAGUGGCAAUCGAGACAAUUGAUUGACACUUGAAACUGAAACGCAACGGUAACACUGGAAAAUUAAACUGAAACCAAAACCGGACCAGGCUAUAAGCUAAACUGGGCUUGAAACUAGGCUCUUCAUCACCAAAAUGGCCCAUUUUGGUUAGGUUUGCCAACACUUAUAUACCCUUUAAUUUU